GAUGAACGCUGGCGGCGUGCCUAAUACAUGCAAGUCGAGCGAACAGACGAGGAGCUUGCUCCUCUGACGUUAGCGGCGGACGGGUGAGUAACACGUGGAUAACCUACCUAUAAGACUGGGAUAACUUCGGGAAACCGGAGCUAAUACCGGAUAAUAUAUUGAACCGCAUGGUUCAAUAGUGAAAGACGGUUUUGCUGUCACUUAUAGAUGGAUCCGCGCCGCAUUAGCUAGUUGGUAAGGUAACGGCUUACCAAGGCAACGAUGCGUAGCCGACCUGAGAGGGUGAUCGGCAACACUGGAACUGAGACACGGUCCAGACUCCUACGGGAGGCAGCAGUAGGGAAUCGUCCGCAAUGGGCGAAAGCCUGACGGAGCAACGCCGCGUGAGUGAUGAAGGUCUUCGGAUCGUAAAACUCUGUUAUUAGGGAAGAACAAAUGUGUAAGUAACUAUGCACGUCUUGACGGUACCUAAUCAGAAAGCCACGGCUAACUACGUG
rnacentral:rRNA from 1 species